ACAGGCAUUGCAACAGCAACAGGCCUUACGGCAUCAACAAACUGCGACGCACCAGAGUGGCUAACCGGGGUCGGCCGGAAUUUCACCUAGUUACCAUUAUACUGCCAAUACACAGCCUCGUAGCUCAGGGGGAUCGUACCGAACCAUGUAUGACUACGAUGCCGAUGACAACGGCGAAGUUUCCUUCCGCGAUGGCGAUGUUAUCGUCGAUUGCAAACCGAUCGACGAGGGAUGGAUGAUGGACACAGUCCUGAGGACAGGCCGAUCCGGAAUGGUAUCGGCAAACUACAUCUAACCUCUCAGCUAAUGUUUUCGUUCUUUAUUGCCCUUACGCCUGAUCCUUUUGAUUUCUGUCUUCUUUGCUCCUUUUGUCGAAAUCCCUAGAAACCAUUGUCCUUCCUGCACGCAACACAUUCAAAUUUGGAAUUCCCGCAGCUAACAUAUCCGAUGCCUGGUGAUAUUUAGUCUUGGUCUUCAGAUUAUUAUAUUGCACUAAAUAAAGGGCAGCUACGUCACUUGCCCUUAAACACCUGAACACAGGACGACGGGG